rnacentral:rRNA from 1 species
CCUACGGGUGACAGCAGUGGGGAAUAUUGCGCAAUGGGGGAAACCCUGACGCAGCCACGCCGCGUGAAGGAAGAAGGCUUUCGGUAUGUAAACUUCUAUCAGCAGGGAAGCAAAUGACGGGACUUGUCUAAUACGCCCCGGCUGACUACGUGCCAGCAGCCGCCGUAAUACGGCGUGGGCAAGAGUUAACCGGAUUUACUGGGUGUAAAGGGAGCGUAGGUGGUUUAGAAAGUCAGAAGUGAAGGCCCGGGGCUCAACUCCGGGUCUGCAUUUGAAACUGGGGCACUAGAUUGCAGUGGAGGUAAGUAGAAUGCCUAGUGUAGCGGUGAAAUGCGUAGAUAUGAGGAGGAACACCGAUGGCGAAGGCAGCUUACUGGGAAGUCAAUGACGCUGAGGCUCGAAAGCGUGGGGAGCAAACAGGAUUAGAUACUCCGGUAGUC